CUGCUACUGCUAUGAAUUCUGAUAUGUCGCAUGUUAUUGAUGAUGCCACUUCUGCUAUGCAUGAUACUUAUGAUGAAACUACUUCUAUGCCUGAUACUACUGUGCCACUUGGUGAAUUUCUUGAUGAACAACUUGCUAGGGCUAGAGAGAAUGAAAUUAUUAAUGAUGAUAUUAUUGAAGAUAGUGAUGAUGAAGGUUCUCCCCCUAAUUAUGAAUUGCCUGUUGUUCCCGAGGGUUAUGUUAUGGAUGAAGAAGCUGCUAGAGCUAUUCUUGCUUGCAAUGAUAGAUAUGAUCUUAAGAAGUUAUUAGCUAAAUGGAAGCAACAAUCCCUUAAUGCUAGAAUGAAACCUGACCCUGCUUUUGCUACUUCACCUAUCUGUGUUACUGAUAAGGAUUAUGAAUUCUCUGUUGAUCCUGAAAUAAUUACUUUGGUAGAAUCCGAUCCUUUUUAUGGCCUUGAAUCUGAAACUGUAGUGGCAAACCUUACUAAGUUAAAUGAUAUAGCUGCCCUGUUCACUAAUGAUGAGAAAUCCCGCUACUAUUAUAUCCUUAAAAUAUUUCCAUUCUCAUUAAAGGGUGAUGCUAAAACUUGGUUUAAUUCUCUUGAUCCUGGUUGUGUGCGUAGUCCCCGGGAUAUGAUUUAUUAUUUCUCUGCUAAAUAUUUCCCUGCUCAUAAGAAACAAGCUGCCUUGCGGGAUAUAAUUUUGUGCAAAUCGAAGAAGAGAGUCUCCCACAAGCUUGGGGGAGACUUCUCCGAUUACUUAAUGUUUUGCCUGAUCACCCUCUCAAGAAAAAUGAAAUACUUGAUAUCUUUUACAAUGGACUAACCGAUGCUUCCAAGGACCACUUGGAUAGUUGUGCUGGUUGUGUUUUCAGGGAAAGAACAGUCGACCAAGCUGAAUUGUUAUUGAAUAAUAUGUUGACUAAUGAAAAUAAUUGGACUCUUCCUGAGCCAAUUGAUCCAACUCCUGAGCCUAUUCCUAAACCUACUCCCAAGAAGAGAGGUGUUCUAUUUCUCAGUCCUGAAGAUAUGCAAGAGGCAAAGAAAUCAAUGAAAGAAAAAGGUAUUAAAGCUGAAGAUGUUAAGAAUUUACCUCCUAUUGAAGAAAUACAUGGUCUUAAUAUACCGCCUGCUGAAGAAACACAUUGUCUUGAUAACCCUACACAGGUAGUAAAGAUAAAUUCUCUCAAUAGAUUUGAUGAAGGUGAUAUUCCUCGUUAUAAGUCUGCUAGCCAAUGCUUAGAUGAGUUUGAUAAUUUUAUUGUUAAACAAGAAAACUUCAAUGCUUAUGUUGGUAGACAAUUGAAAUACAAUACGGAUACACUUGAACACUUGAAUGAUUAUAUGUCUAGAGUUAAAGGUGAACUUAAACUCAUUAGUAAACAUGCUUCUAUGGUUACCACUCAAGCUGAACAAAUACUUAAAGCUCAAAAUGAAUUGCUUGAUGAAUUAAAUAAUAAACAUGACUAUGUUGUUAUAGUGGCUACUAGAACUAGUAGAAUGACUCAGGAACCUUUGUAUCCUGAAGGCCACCCUAAGAGAAUCGAGCAAGAUUCUCAGAGAAAUAAUUUAGACGCAUCUAGUCCUUCUAAAAAGAAGAAAAAGAAAAAUGAUAGGACUUCGCAUGCUUCUAGUGAACCUAUUGUAGACACACCUGAAAAUCCUAAUAAUAUUUCAAUUUCUGAUGCUGAAACACAAUCAGGUGAUGAACAUGAACCUAGCGAUAAUGUUAAUGAUGAUGUUCAUGUUAAUGCUCAACCUAGUAAUAAUAAUGAAGUAGAGAUUGAACCUGCUGUUGAUCUUGAUAACCCACAAUCAAAGAAUCAACGUUAUAAUAAGAGAGACUUCGUUGCUAGGAAGCACGGUAAAGAAAGGGAACCAUGGGUUCAGAAACCCAUGCCUUUUCCUCCUAAACCAUCCAAAUCAAAGGAUGAUGAGGAUUUUGAGCGCUUUGCUGAAAUGAUUAGACCUAUUUUCUUACGUAUGCGCUUAACUGAUAUGCUUAAAGUAAAUCCUUAUGCUAAGUAUACGAAGGAUAUCAUUACAAAUAAAAGAAACAUACCGGAAGCUAAAAUUUCCACCAUGCUUGCUAAUUAUACUUUUAAAGGUGGAAUACCAAAGAAACUUGGAGACCCAGGAGUACCAACUAUACCAUGCUCCAUUAAAAUAAAUUACGUUAAAACUGCUUUAUGUGAUCUUGGAGUCGGUGUUAGUGUUAUGCCUCUCUCUUUAUAUUGUAGACUUGAAUUGAAUAAGUUGACACCUACUGAAAUAUCUUUGCAAAUGGCCGAUAAAUCAACUGCUAUACCUGUCGGUAUUUGCGAGGAUGUGCCUGUUGUAGUUGCAAAUGUCACUAUCUUAACGGACUUUGUUAUUCUUGAUAUUCCCGAGGACGAUAGUAUGUCGAUUAUCCUUGGUAGACCUUUUUGGAAUACUGCAGGGGCUAUUAUUGAUUGCAACAAAGGCAAUGCCACUUUUCAUGUUAAUGGUAAUGAACAUACGGUACAUUUUCCGAGGAAACAACCUCAAGUUCAUAGCAUCAAUCUAUUGGAAAAGGUCCAACUAUUAUCAUUGGAGGUUUUGAAUUUCCUCUUCCUACUGUCAAGAAAAAGUAUGAUAUUCUUAUUGUAGGGGAUGUUCAUAUCCCCGUUGAGGUAACCUAGUGUUAUUCGAAAUUUCUCCGGUUCCGUGUUAUUCGGAAUGAGUUUGUUAACAAGACUUGAUCAACCUUGUUAGUGGAUUCAUUUUGAUGAUCACGAGAUGGAUGAAACUAGAAGGCACAACCUUCUGUACCCUCUUUUUACUUUCUGUUAUUUAGAAUAAAUAAAGCAAAAUAGUAUUAUCUGUCUGUUUUCCGAAUUAUCCAUGCAAUAAAAAAUAUCCCGAAAAUAAAAGUGCUCCAAAUGCCCUGCCAAUUUAGUAUGAUUCUUUCUGUAAUAUUUGAGGAUUUUAGGCACUAAGAACACAGCAGGGGGGCAAGCACCUGGCCACGAGGGUCCAGGGCGCGCCCACCCUUAUAGGGCGCGCCCCCCUGUCUCGUGGGCCCACGAUGGCCCUCCUCCACUUAUUCCUACACCCACACACUCCAUCUUCCUCCCAAAAAAAUCCCCAUCCAGCUCAAGCACGAGUUCUGGCUCAUUUUGUUGCGAUUUUCGAUCUCCUUGCUCAAAGCUCCAUUCGAAAAACUGCUUUGGGAGAUUGUUGCUUGGUAUGUGACUCCUCCAUUGGUCCAAUUAGUUUGUGUUCUAGUGCUUUAUUCAUUGCAAAUUUUUGCUGCAUAAGUGACCCUGUUCUUGAGCUUGCAUGUCAAAUUUAUGAGGUCCCAAGUAAUCCUAAUGCAUGAUAUAGGCUCUAGGCACUUGUAGGAAGUUACUCAAAAUUUCAGAAAUUUUUCAGAGGAAGAAAUAUGUCUAGGAAAAUGUUUCAAGGUGGUUCUUCAAGAAAGCAAGCACCCAGACGCGCAAUGCGUGAGCCAGACAAUGAACCACCAAGGGAAGCUAUUGUGCGGCCUUGUGAAUGGCCGUCAGAAGAAUUUAUGGUCAAUGCAGGAAUUAAGGAUGAAUUCGAUGCAUAUGUGCGUAACGCCGACCUUGAGGACUUCAUGCAAGAUAAGUGUCAUCAGUACUACUAUUUGACUGAUUCAUUCGUGAGAAGGUUUAAAUUUUCAUCUUCGCGUAAUUCUCAAACUGUCCUGUUUGAUAUUUAUGAUCAAUCCUAUACCAUGGACUUAGAAGAUUUCACUACUGCUUGCAAACUCCCAUAGUGGGGUAGUGUUAAUGAACCCCGUAAAUCUGAAUAUAAAGACUUUCUUGCUAAUAUAACUGUGGGAGAAUCUAGGGACAUAGCACAAGCUACCAUAGGGAGCAUUCAUUUUCCUGUUAUACAUUAUUUUGCUCUCUUCAUUGGUAGAUGUAUUAAUGGUAAAGAUGAAGCUUGUCACAUGUGUGUUCCUGAUCUCUGUGUCCUUAAGAGUGCUGGUUUAGGUAAUAAAGAUUACAACUUGGGGGCAAUAGUUGCACGUAGGUUGCAUAAUAAUGGUUUAUCUGGAGAUUUAUUUGGAGGGAUUUAUGCGACCCGUGUUGCUAAUUAUCUUGGUAUACCCCCACGUGAGGGUGACAUGUUGUUACCUUCCGCUUAUUUAGAUUAUGAUGCUAUGGUCAGUCAUCGUUUUCUUAUGGGGAAUGAACAAUUCCUCCAAUAUCGACUAAUCUUUGACAGACGUCACGCUGUCCAUGUUACUCUCCCUGCUCCUUCCCUUUUUGAUUACCAGGCAAAAUGAAGAUAUGUUGUAACCAGGGAGGAGGCAACCGAAUACAAGAGGAGAGCGGAGGCAGCCCGCCAACAUGCCGCAGCUCAGGAGGCAUUGGCUGAUGCAUCUCAGUACGACCCCAGUUAUAACUACGGAUAUCAGCCAGGCUACCCUUGGCAUUAGACCAACUUAGGCCAAAAGCCUAAGCUUGGGGGAGUACGUAUUUCUCACCAACUUUACAUUCAUGUUCACACACUAUUCUAGUUGUCGGUGCUCAUACUCUUUCAUUGUACUAUUCAUGCUAGCCUAAUUUAUUUUUCUAGCUUUCUUCUUGUGUGUUUGAUAAACCUUAAGAAAAGCCAAAAAAAAUUAGUUAGUUUAAUUUCAAUGCUUGUAGAAUUAAAAUGGAAACCCAAAAAGAUUUCUCAUUCUUCUUUUAAUUGUUGGGAGCUUUCCCGUGUAAAUAGUUUUAUUUCUUUUCUUUUCUUUUGGGGGUCGAGAGUAGAAGACCAUUAUGAAAAUGUUUAGUGGCUCUCAUAUGCAUGAUUGUUGAUUUAACUUAGAGCCCAUAUUACUUUGUCUUCUCUCUUGAAUUGAAUGCUUGCAGAUUCCAGCUUAGUCCAAUGCACGCGCACUAUUAUUAUUAUACACACCGUUCGGUCGUGCGAAUGAAAGGCAAUAAUGACGAUAUAUGAUGGACUGAUUGGGAUGAGAGAAGCUGGUAUGAAAUCGACCUCUCUUGUUUUUGUAAAUAUGAUGAGUUCAUCGUUCCUGAUUAAGCAUAUUAUGAAUAAACAUGUUUGCAAUGACAUUUAGAGAUUAUAGUUGUUUAUGCCAUGCUUAAUUAGCUAUGAGUUAUAAUGGUUUACCUUGCGUGCCAACAUGCUAUUAAAAUAGUUGUGAUGUGGUAUGAUGGGAUGGUAUCCUCCUUUGAAUGAAUUGAGUGACUCGACUUGGCACAUGUUCACGCAUGUAGUUGAAAACAAAUCAACAUAGCCUUCAUGAUAUUUAUGUUCAUGGUAGAUUAUAUCCUACUCAUGCUUGCACUCUGUGUAAAUUAAUUUUAAUGCAUGUUCAUGAUUGUUGUCGCUCUCUCAGUUGGACGCUUCCCAGUCUUUUGCUAGCCUUCACUUGUACUAAGCAGGAAUACUGCUUGUGCAUCCAAAUUCCAUAAGCCCCAAAGUUAUUCCAUAUGAGUCCACCAUACCUUCCUAUAUGCGGUAUUUACCUGCCAUUCCAAGUAAAUUUGUAUGUGCCAAACUCCAAACCUUCAAAUGAAAUUCUGUUUUGUAUGCUCGAGCAACUCAUGUAUCAACUAGGGCUGUCUGUAUCUUCCAUGCUAGGUGGGUUAUUCUCAAUAGGAGUGGACUCCGCUCCUCACUCACGAGAAAAUGGCUGGUAACCGGGAUGCCCAGUCCCAUGCUUUAAGCAAAUAAAAUCAAAAUAAUUGCAAACAAAACUCCCCCGGGACUCUUGUUAGUUGGAGGCACUCGUUGUUUCGAGCAAGCCAUGGAUUGAUGCUUGUUGGUGGAGGGGGAGUAUAAACUUUACCAUUUUGUUUGGGAACCGCCUAUAAUGUCUGUAGCAUGGAAGAUAUUGCCAUCUCUUGGUUGUUUCGUUGACAGUGAAAGUAUACCGCUCAAAAUAUUAUUCAUCUCUAUUUUAAAACUGAGCUCUGACACCUCUACAAAUCCCUGCUUCCCUCUGCGAAGGGCCUAUCUAUUUACUUUUAUGUUGAGUCAUCACCUUCUUAUUAAAAAGCACCCGCUGGAGAGCACUGCUGUCAUUUGCAUGCAUUACUAUUAGUUUAUAUUGGGUAUGACUUGACUAGAUCUCUUUUACCAUGAAUUACAAUGUUUAGUCAGUCCGUGAUCUUUAAAGGUGCUCUGCAUUUAUGUUUCGCGGUCUCAGAAAGGGCUAGCGAGGUACCAUCUUGUGAUAUCAUAUUAUGAUUGUUUUGAGAAAGUGUUGUCAUCCGAGUUUUAUUAUUAUAGCUCGCUAGCUGAUUAUGCCAUUGAUAUGGGUGAACAUGAGACCUAAGUGUUAUUAUGAAUAUGGUUAGUCAUAAUCUUUGCUGAAAACUUGAAUGCUGGCUUGACAUAUUUACAACAACAAGAGCAAACAGAGUUUGUAAAAGUUUUUCUUUAUCACUUUCAGUUUAUCAACUGAAUUGCUUGAGGACAACCAAAGGUUUAAGCUUGGGGGAGUUGAUACGUCUCCAACGUAUCUACUUUUCCAAACACUUUUGCCCUUGUUUUGGACUCUAACUUGCAUGAUUUGAAUGGAACUAACCCGGACUGAUGCUGUUUUCAGCAGAAUUGCCAUGAUGUUAUCUUUAUGCAGAAAACAAAAGUUCUCGGAAUGACCUGGAAAUCCACGGAGAUUAUUUUUGGAAAAUAAGAAAAAUACUGGCGAAAGAAUCAAGGCCAGGGGGGCCACACCCUAUCCAGGAGGGUGGAGGGCGCGCCCUUCCCCCCUGGGCGCGCCCCCUGUCUUCUGGGCCCCCUGGAGCUCCACCGACCUCAACUCCAACGCUAUAUAUUCCGUUUCGCGGAGAAAAAAAUCAGAGAGAAAGUUUCAUCGCGUUUUACGAUACGGAGCCGCCGCCAAGCCCUAAUUUCUCUCGGAAGGGCUGAUCUAGAGUCCGUUCGGGGCUCCGGAGAGGGGGAUUCGUCGCCGCCGUCAUCAUCAACCAUCCUCCAUCACCAAUUUCAUGACGCUCACCGCCGUGCGUGAGUAAUUCCAUCAUAGGCUUGCUGGACGGUGAUGGGUUGGAUGAGAUUUAUCAUGUAAUCAAGUUAGUUUUGUUAGGGUUUGAUCCCUAGUAUCCACUAUGUCCUGAGAUUGAUGUUGCUACGACUUUGCUAUGCUUAAUGCUUGUCACUAGGGCCCGAGUGCCAUGAUUUCAGAUCUGAACCUAUUAUGUUUUCAUGAAUAUAUGUGAAUUCUUGAUCCUAUCUUGCAAGUCUAUAGUCACCUAUUAUGUGUUAUGAUCCGACAACCCUGAAGUGACAAUAAUUGGGAUACUUCUCGGUGAUGACCAUAGUUUGAGGAGUUCAUGUAUUCACUAAGUGCUAAUGCUUUGGUCCGGUUCUCUAUUAAAAGGAGGCCUUAAUAUCCCUUAGUUUCCACUAGGACCCCGCUGCCACGGGAGGGUAGGACAAAAUAUGUCAUGCAAGUUCUUUUCCAUAAGCAUGUAUGACUAUAUUCGGAAUACAUGCCUACAUUACAUUGAUGAACUGGAGCUAGUUCUGUGUCACCCUAGGUUAUAACUAUUGCAUGAGGAAUCGCAUCCGACAUAAUUAUCCAUCAUUGAUCCAAUGCCUACGAGCUUUUCACAUAUUGUUCUUCGCUUAUUUACUUUUCCAUUGCUACUGUUACAAUCACUACAAAACCCAAAAAUAUUACUUUUACUAUCGUUACCAUUACUAUCAUAUUACUUUGCUACUAAAUACUUUGCUGCAGAUACUAAGUUAUCCAGGUGUGGUUGAAUUGACAACUCAACUGCUAAUACUUGAGAAUAUUCUUUGGCUCCCCUUGUGUCGAAUCAAUAAAUUUGGGUUGAAUACUCUACCCUCGAAAGCUGUUGCGAUCCCCUACACUUGUGGGUUAUCAGGUAGCACAUGAUUUUAUUGUUAAGAAUAGGGAAAAGACGGUUAAGUACAAACUGAUAUUUGAUAAAAUUUGCCCUGAGAUUAUUACUUUGCCGGCUCCUUCUUUGUUUGACUUAUCUGCAGGCAAGUACCUUGUUCCGCCGGAGGUCAUUCACGCCUACCAAAACUCCACACCAGCUACAGAGCCAGAGCCGGAACCACAAUUUGAUCCUUCACGACAGUCUGUUUACCAGUGGGAUCUGGAGGAGAUUGCCAAUCGGUGGCAACCUGAGGCUCCUUCUCAGUACGACCCCAAUUACAACUUUGGAUAUCCGCCAGGCCAUCCAUGGGCAUAGACCAACUUAGGCCAAAAGCCUAAGCUUGGGGGAGUACGUAUCUCUCACCGACAUUACAUUUAUGUUCACACGUUCAUGCUAGUUGUCGGUGCUCAUACUUUUUCACUGUAAAAUCCAUGCUAGUUUAUUUUCCUUUUUAUGCUUUCUUCUUGUGUGUUUGAAAAACCUUAAGAAAAACCAAAAAAUAGCUAUAGCUUUUAGCUAGUUUACUUUCUUGCUUGUAGUAGUAUUCAUUAAAAGAAAACACAAAAAGAUUUCUCGUUCUUCUUUUGCUUGUUGGGAGCUUUCCCGUGUAAAUAGUUUUAUUUAUUUUCUUUUCUUUGGGGGUCGAUAGGAGAAGACCAUAAUGAAAAUGUUGAAGUAGCUCUUAUAUGCAUUAUUGUUGAUUUAACCAAGAGCCCAUAUUGCCUUGUCUUCUCCUGUUUAUUGAAUGCUUGCAGAUUACAGCUUAGUCCAAUUCACGUGCACUAUUAUUAUUAUCAUCGUUCGGUCGUGCAAGUGAAAGGCAAUAAUGACGAUAUAUGAUGAACUGAUUGAGAUGAGAGAAGCUGGUAUGAACUCGACCUCUCUUGUUUUUGUAAAUAUGAUUAGUUCAUCGUUCCUGAUUCAGCCUAUUAUGAAUAAACAUAUUUGCAAUGACAAUUAGAGAUUUUAGUUGUUUAUGCCAUGCUUAAUUAGCUAGGAGUUUAUAAUGGUUUAUCUUGCGUGCCAACAUGCUAUUAAAAUGAUUGUGAUGUGGUAUAGUAGGGUGGUAUCCUCCUUUGAAUGAUUCGAGUGACUCGACUUGGCACAUGUUCACACAUGUAAUUGAAACAAAUCAACAUAGCCUUCACGAUAUUUAUGUUCAUGGUUGAUUAUAUCCUACUCAUGCUUGCACUCAAUGUUUAUUAAUUUUAAUGCAUGUUCAUGACUGUUGUCGCUCUCUAGCUGGUCGCUUCUCAGUCUUUUUCUAGCCUUCACUUGUACUAAGCGGGAAUACUGCUUGUGCAUCCAAUUCCAUAAACCCCAAAGUUAUUCCAUAUGAGUCCACUAUACCUUCCUAUAUGCGGUGUCUACCUGCCGUUCCAAGUAAAUUUGUAUGUGCCAAACUCUAAACCUUCAAAUAAAAUUCUGUUUUGUAUGCUCGAAUAGCUCAUGUAUCAACUAGGGUUGUCUGUAUCUUCCAUGCUAGGCAGGUUAUUCUCAAGAGGAGUGGACUCCGCUCCUCACUCACGAGAAAAUGGCUGGUCACCGGGAUGCCCAGUCCCAUGCUUUAUGCAAAUCAAAUCAAAAUAAUUGCAAACAAAACUCCCCCGGGACUCUUGUUAGUUGGAGGCACUCGUUGUUUCGAGCAAGCCAUGGAUUGAUGCUUGUUGGUGGAGGGGGAGUAUAAACUUUACCAUUAUGUUUGGGAACCGCCUAUAAUGUGUGUAGCAUGGAAGAUAUCGAGAUCUCUCGGUUGUUAUGUUGACAAUGAAAGUAUGCCGCUCAAAAUAUUAUUUAUCUCUAUUUCAAAAAUCGAGCUCUGGCACCUCUACAAAUCCCUGCUUCCCUCUGCGAAGGGCCUAUCUAUUUACUUUUAUGUUGAGUCAUCACCCUCUUAUUAAAAAGCACCAGUUGGAGAGCACUGUUGUCAUUUGCAUCCAUUACUAUUAAUUUAUAUUGAGUAUGACUGGAUCUCUUUUACCAUGAAUUACAAUGUUUAGUCAGUCCUUGAUCUUUAAGGGUGCUCUGCAUUUAUGUUUUGCGGUCUCAGAAAGGGCUAGCGAGAUACCAUCUUGUUAUAUCAUAUUAUGAUUGUUUUGAGAAAGUGUUGUCAUCCGAGAUUUAUUAUUAUUGCUCACUAAAUGAUUAUGCCAUUGAUACGAGUAAACAUGAGACCUAAGUGUUAUUGUGAAUAUGGUUAGUCAUAAUCUUUGCUGAAAACUUGAAUGUUGGCUUUACAUAUUUACAACAACAAGAGCAAACAGAGUUUGUAAAAGUUUUUCUUUAUCACUUUCAGUUUGUCAACUGAAUUGCUUGAGGACAAGCAAAGGUUUAAGCUUGGGGGAGUUGAUACGUCUCCAAUGUAUCUACUUUUCCAAACACUUUUGCCCUUGUUUUGGACUCUAACUUGCAUGAUUUGAAUGGAACUAACCCGGACUGACGUUGUUUUCAGCAGAAUUGCCAUGAUGUUAUCUUUGUGCAGAAAACAAAAGUUCUCGGAAUGACCUGGAAAUCCACGGAGAUUAUUUUUGGAAAAUAAGAAAAAUACUGGCGAAAGAAUCAAGGCCAGGGGGCCCACACCCUGUCCAGGAGGGUGGGGGUGCGCCCUUCCCCCUGGGCGCGCCCCCUGUCUCCCGGGCCCCCUGGAGCUCCACCGACCUCAACUCCAACUCUAUAUAUUCACGUUCGGGGAGAAAAAAAUCAGAGAGAAGGAUUCAUCACGUUUUACGAUACGGAGCCGCCGCCAAGCCCUAAUCUCUCUCGGGAGGGCUGAUCUGGAGUCCGUUCGGGGCUCCGGAGAGGGGAAUCCGUCGCCAUCGUCAUCAUCAACCUUCCUCCAUCACCAAUUUCAUGAUGCUCACCGCCGUGCAUGAGUAAUUCCAUCGUAGGCUUGUUGGACGGUGAUGGGUUGGAUGAGAUUUAUCAUGUAAUCGAGUUAGUUUUGUUAGGGUUUGAUCCCUAGUAUCCACUAUGUUCUGAGAUUGAUGUUGCUAUGACUUUGCUAUGCUUAAUGCUUGUCACUAGGGCCCGAGUGCCAUGAUUUCAGAUCUGAACCUAUUAUGUUUUCAUGAAUAUAUGUGAGUUCUUGAUCCUAUCUUGCAAGUCUAUAGUCACCUACUAUGUGUUAUGAUCCGGCAACCCCGAAGUGACAAUAAUCGGAACCACUCCCGGUGAUGACCAUAGUUUGAGGAGUUCAUGUAUUCACUAUGUGUUAAUUCUUUGGUCCGGUACUCUAUUAAAAGGAGGCCUUAAUAUCCCUUAGUUUCCAAUAGGACCCCGCUGCCACGGGAGGGUAGGACAAAAGAUGUCAUGCAAGUUCUUUCCCAUAAGCACGUAUGACUAUAUUCGGAAUACAUGCCUACGUUACAUUGAUGAAUUGAAGCUAGUUCUUUGUCACCCUAUGUUAUAACUGUUGCAUGAAUAAUCGCAUCCGACAUAAUUCUCCAUCACCAAUCCAAUGCCUACGAGCUUUUCACAUAUUGUUCUUCGCUUAUUUACUUUUCCGUUGCUACUGUUACAAUCACUAUAAAACUACUACCGUUACUCCUGCCACUGUUACCGUUACUAUCAUACUACUUUGCUGCUAAAUACUUUGCUGCAGAUAUUAAGUUAUCCAGGUGUGGUUGAAUUGACAACUCAACUGCUAAUACUUGAGAAUAUUCUUUGGCUCCCCUUGUGUCGAAUCAAUAAAUUUGGGUUGAAUACUCUACCCUCGAAAAUUGUUGCGAUCCCCUAUACUUGUGGGUUAUCAACGUACUCUUGUCCCCAUCCAUGAUAAGCCACCCCCUGGCAUAUGUCGCACGAUAUCCCCGACAGCAAGAUCCUUCAAGUAAGUUGUCAUCGGUGCAAUAAGGCAAUAAAAAUUGCUUCUAAAAGUGUUAGAUCAUUUAGUGUAAGAGAAAAUUGAGCGGUGUACGAACUUGUGAUGGCAAAAAAUAAAAGCGACAGACUGCAUAAUAAAGGUUGCUAUCAUAAGGGGCAAUAUAACAUGAUGUUCUUUUGCACUAAGGGGUUGAGCAUACAAACAAAAAGCGCAUGGCAACCUCUACUUCCCUCUGCGAAGGGCCUAUUUUUUACUUUUAUGUAUUUACUUUCAGCAUGAGUAAAAGUUUUUCUCUCUAUUCCUUUUUAUUUUUCUCUUUUGGCAAGCAUCAUGUGGUGAGGAAAGAUCUAGGCACAUAUAUCCAGUUCGAUAUGGGUAGCAUGAGUUAUUAUUGUUGACAUCACCCUUGAGGUGAAUACAUUGGGAGGCAAAGCAAUAAGCCCCUAUCUUUCUAUGUGUCCGGUUGAAACGUUUUGCUCAUGUGUAUGUGGUGAGUGUUAGCAAUCAUAGAAGACUAUAUGAUGGUUGAGUAUGUGGAGCUCUUACUUAAACUCUGUUGAAUAAGUUGAAUUACAAUUGCUUGGUGACUUAGAACAUAGGUUGUUGAGUUUCAAGAGAAUUCAUUGUUUGAACCUUAACAUGCAAAUUGGUUGCUACUUUAACAUGAGAAGUUUUAUAAGAAAGAAUUGUUGUUAUGAUGCUAGAAAAAGUGAUUGAAAUUAUCAUUGAUCAAACUUAUGCACUUUGUUGGCAUUCACACUUCAUAAAUUAUUUCUUUUAUCAUUUACCUACUCGAGGACGAGUAGGAAUUAAGCUUGGGGAUGCUGAUACGUCUCCAACGUAUCUAUAAUUUAUGAAGUAUUCACGCUAUUAUAUUAUCAUUCUUGGAUGUUUGACAAUCAUUUUAUAGCAACUUUAUAUCAUUUUUUGGGACUAACCUAUUGACCCAGUGCCCAGUGCUAGUUGCUGUUUUUUGCUUGUUUUUUACAUCUUAGGAAAUCAAUAUCAAACGAAGUCCAAACGCCGCGAAACUUUUUGUGGAUUUUUUAUGGACCAGAAGACAUUUGUUGGGAUAGAGCAGCACCUGGGGGGUGCCCCAAGGGGGGCACAGCCCACCAGGGCAUACCUGGGGGCCCAGGCGCGCCCAGGUGGGUUGUGCCCACCUCGGUGGCCUCCCGUACCCUCUCUUCACCGUAUAAAUAGUCAAAUAUUCCAAAAACCCUCGGGGUUAACCUAGAUCAGAAGUUCCGCCGCUGCAGGCCUCUCUAGCCACCGAAAACCAAUCUAGACCCCGUUCCAGCACCCUGUCGGAGGGGGGAAUCAUCACCGGUGGCCAUCUUCAUCAUCCCGGCGGCCACCACCAUGAGGAGGGAGUAGUCCACCCUCUGAGGGUUUGUACCAGUAGCUAUGUGUUUAAUCUCUCUCUCUCUCUCGUGUUCUUGAGAUGUCACGAUCUUGAUGUAUCGCGGGCUUUGUUAAUAUUCGGAUCAUAUGGUGUUUCCCCCUCUUUAUCUUGUUGUGAUGAAUUGAGUUUUCCCUUUGAGAUUUUGUUUUAUCGGAUUGAAUACUUUUAUGGAUUUGAGAGCACUUGAUAUAUGCCUUGCAUAUGAAUACUCGUGGUGACAAUGGGGUAUCAUAUUGAUUCACUUGAUAUGUGUUUUGGCACUCAACUCGCGGAUUCCCGAGGUGACAUUGGGGUAAUCUACGCAUAGGGGUUGAUGCACGUUCUUGUCUUUGUUUCUCCAGUAGAAAUCUUGGGGCACUCUUUGAGGUUCUUUGUGUUGGAUUGAGUAUUAUGAAUCUGAAAUUAUUUGGUGUUAUUUUAUUAUGAACUCUUGGAUAGAUCGAUCGGAAAGAAUAGCUUCGAGGUGGUUUCGUAUCCUACAAAUGGUUUCUUCUUAUGUUCUCCGCUAGGUAAGAACUUUGGAGUGAUUCUUUGUUGCAUGCUGAGGGAUGGUUAUGUGAUCCAAUUAUAUUAGCAUUGUUGGGAGAUUGCACUAGCGAAAGUACGGACCCUAGGCCUCAUUUUCACGCAUUGAAAUACCGUUUGUUCUCCAGUUUAUCAAUUGCUACCUUGUUGUUUAUUGUUCUUAUUACAAAAAUCAAUAUCUACUAUCCAUAUUACACUUGUAUCACCAUCUCUUCGCCGAACUAGUGCACCUAUACAAAUUACCAUUGUAUUUGGUCUGUUGGGGACACAAGUGACUUUUUAUUAUUUGGUUGCAGGGUUGUUUGAGAGAGACCAUCUUUGUCCUACGCUUCCCACGGAUUGAUAAACCUUAGGUCAUCCACUUGAGGGAAAAUUGCUACUGUCCUACAAAACUCUGCGCUUUGAGGCCCAAAACGUGUCUACAAGAAUAAAGUUGCGUAGUAGACAUCACUACUCCGCAUAAGUUAGUUUCACUGUUUUUUCUUGUGUGCAUCUGAUGUCUACUACGCAACUUUAUUCUUGUAGACACGUUUUGGGCCUCAAAGGGCAGAGUUUUGUAGGACAGUAGCAAUUUUCCCUCAAGUGGAUGACCUAAGGCUCAUCAAUCCGUGAGAGGUGUAGGAUGAAGAUGGUCUCUCUCAAACGACCCUGCAACCAAAUACAAGAAAUCUCUUGUGUCCCCAACACACCCAAUGGCAAAUUGUUUAGGUGCACUAGUUCAGCGAAGAGAUGAUGAUAAAAGUGUAAUAUUGAUGGUAGAAAUAUAUUUUUUAUAAUCUGAAUAAAUAAAAACAGCAAGGUAGCAAAUAGUAAAUGGGCACAAAAACGGUAUUGCAAUGCUUGAAAAUGAGCCCUAGGGUCCAUACUUUUGCUAGUGCAACCUCUCAACAAUGCUAACAUAGUUGGAUCAUAUGAUUAUCCCUCAAAGCAUAUUAAAGAAUCGCUCCCGAGUUCCUAUUAGCGGAGAACAAAAGAUAUAAAUUGUCUGUAGGGUACGAAACCACCUCAAAGCUAUUCUUUUCGUUCGAUCUGUCCUAGAGUUCGUACUAGAAUAACGCAAGCUAUUCUUUCCAAUCGAUCUAAUCAAGAGUUCGUACAAAAGUAGCACCAAAGCAAACUCAUAUUCAUAAUACUCAAUCCACACAAAGAACUACAAGGGGCCCCAAAGUUUAUAUCGGAGAAAAGAUAAUAAAAACGUGCAUCUACCCCUAUGUUGUUGGGGAACGUAGUAAUAAUUCAAAAUUUUCCUACGUGUCACCAAGAUCAAUCUAGGAGAUGCUAUCAACGAGAGAGAGGGAGUGCAUCUUCAUACCCUAGAAGAUCGCUAAGCGGAAGCGUUACAAGGAACGCGGAUGAUGGAGUUGUACUCGCGGCGAUUCAAAUCGCAGAAGAUCCGAUCUAGCGCCGAACGGACGGCGCCUCCGCGUUCAACACACGUAUAGCCGGGGGACGUCUCCUCCUUCUUGAUCCAGCAAGGGCGAAGGAGAAGUUGAGGAAGAACUCCGACAGCACGACGGCGUGGUGGUGAUGGAGCUCGUGGUUCUCCGGCAGGGCUUCGCCAAGCACUACGGAGGAGGAGGAGGUGUUGGAGAGGCGGAGAGGCUGCGCCAGGAGAAGGGUAUGGCAGCCCUCCCACCCCCCCCACUAUUUAUAGGGGAAGGGGAGAGGGGGCCGGCCCCCUAGAUCCCAUCUACAUGGGGGGGGGCGGCCAAGGGGGGGACUUGCCCCCCAAGUUUGGUGGGAGGCGCCCCCACCCCCUAGGGUUUCCAACCCUAGGCGCCUUGGGCCCUUGGGGUGGGGCGCACCAGCCCACUAGGGGGCUUUCCCACCCUUGUUCAGCCCAUUAAGUCCCCCGAGGCAGAUGGCCCCACCUGGUGGACCCCCGGACACCUUUUGGUGGUCCCGGUACAAUACCAAUAACCCCCGAAACAAUUCCGGCGACUGAAACUGGGCUUCCCAUAUAUAAAUCUUCACCUCCGGACCAUUCCGGAACUCCUCGUGACAUCCGGGAUCUCAUCCGGGACUCCGAACAACCUUCGGUAACCACAUACUAUUUCCCAAAACAACUCUAGCGUCACCGAACCUUAAGUGUGUAGACCCUACGGGUUCGGGAACCAUGCAGACAUGACCGAGACAUCUCUCCGGCCAAUAACCAACAGUGGGAUCUGGAUACCCAUGUUGGAUCCCACAUGUUCCACGACGAUCUCAUCGGAUGAACCACCAUGUCGGGGAUUCAAUCAAUCCCGUAUGCAAUUCCCUUUGUCUAUCGGUAUGUUACUUGCCCGAGAUUUGAUCGUCGGCAUCCCCAUACCUCGUUAAAUCUAGUUACCGGCAAGUCUCUUUACUCGUUCCGUAACACAUGAUCCCAUGACCAACUCCGUAGUCACAUUGAGCUCAUUAUGAUGAUGCAUUACCAAGUGGGCCCAGAGAUACCUCUCCGUCAUACGGAGUGACAAAUCGCAGUCUCGAUUCGUGCCAACCCAACAGACACUUUCGGAGAUACCUGUAGUGUACCUUUAUAGCCACCAAGUUACGUUGUGACGUUUGGUACACCCAAAGCAUUCCUACGGUAUCCGGGAGUUGCACAAUCUCAUGGUCUAAGGAAACGAUAAUUGACAUUAGAAAAGCUCUAGCGAAACGAACUACACGAUCUUGUGCUACGCUUAGGACUGGGUCUUGUCCAUCACAUCAUUCUCCCAAUGAUGUGAUCCCAUUGUCAAUGACAUCCAAUGUCCAUGGCGAGGAAACCAUGACCAUCUAUUGAUCAACGAGCUAGUCAACUAGAGGCUUACUAGGGACAUAUUACGAUCUAUGUAUUCACACAUGCAUUACAGUUUCCGGUUAAUACAAUUAUAGCAUGAACAAUAGACAAUUAUCAUGAACAAGGAAAUAUAAUAAUAACCAAUUUAUUAUUGCCUCUAGGGCAUAUUUCCAACAGUCUCCCACUUGCACUAGAGUCAAUAAUCUAGUUACAUUGUGACGAGCCGAACACCCAUAGAGUUCUGGUGUUGAUCAUGUUUUCCUCGUGGAAGAGGUUUAGUCAACGGAUAUGCGACAUUCAGAUCCGUAUGCACUUUACAAAUAUAUAUGUCUCCAUCUUGAAUAUAUUCACGAAUGGAGUUGAAGCGAUGCUUGAUAUGCCUGGACUUCUUGUGAAACCUGGGCUCCUUGGCAAGGGCAAUAGCUCCAGUGUUGUCACAGAAGAGAGUCAUCGGGCCCGACGCAUUGGGAAUAACUCCUAGGUCGGUGAUGAACUCCUUCAUCUAGACUGCUUCCUGUGCUACCUCCGAGGCAGCUAUGUACUCCGCUGAUGUAGAUCCCGCAACGACGCUUUGCUUGCAACUGCACCAGCUGACUGCCCCACCAUUCAAAAUAUACACGUAUCUGUUUUGUGACUUGGAGUCAUCCAGAUCUGUGUCGAAGCUAGCAUCGACGUAACCCUUUACGACGAGCUCUUCGUCACCUCCAUAAACGAGAAACAUAUCCUUAGUCCUUUUCAGGUACUUUAGGAUAUUCUUGACCACUGUCCAAUGUUCCAUACCGGGAUUACUUUGGUACCUCCCUACCAAACUUAUGGCAAGGUUCACAUCGGGUCUGGUACACAGCAUGGCAUACAUAAUAGACCCUAUGGCUGAGGCAUAGGGGAUGACACUCAUCUUUUCUCUAUCUUCUGCCGAGGUCGGGCAUUGAGCCAUGCUCAAUCUCACACCUUACAAUACAGGCAAGAACCCCUUCUUGGACUGAUCCAUAUUGAACUUCUUCAAUAUCUUGUCAAGGUAUGUGCUUUGCGAAAAACCAAUAAGGCGUCUCGAUCUAUCUCUAUAGAUCUUGAUGCCUAAUAUGUAAGCAGCUUCUCCAAGGUCCUUCAUUGAAAAACACUUAUUCAAGUAGGCCUUUAUGCUUUCCAAAAGUUCUAUAUCAUUUCCCAUCAAUAGUAUGUCAUCCACAUAUAAUAUGAGAAAUGCUACAGAGCUCCCACUCACUUUCUUGUAAACACAAGCUUCUCCAUAAGUCUGCAUAAACCCAAACGCUUUGAUCAUUUCAUCAAAGCGAAUGUUCCAACUCCGAGAUGCUUGCACCUGCCCAUAGAUGGAGCGCUGGAGCUUGCAUAUCUUGUCAGCAUUCUUAGGAUCGACAAAACCUUCCAGCUGCAUCAUAUACAAUUCUUCCUUAAGGAAACCAUUAAGGAAUGUCGAUUUGAUGUCCAUUUGCCAUAUCUCAUAAUCAUAGAAUGCGGCAAUUGCUAACAUGAUUCGGACGGACUUCAGCUUAGCUACGGGUGAGAAGGUCUCAUCGUAGUCAAGCCCUUGAGCUUGUCGAUAACCCUUAGCGACAAGCCGAGCCUUAUAGAUGGUCACAUUACCAUCCGCGUCAGUCUUCUUCUUAAAGAUCCAUUUAUUCUCUAUGGCUUGCCGAUCAUCGGGCAAGUCUGUCAAAGUCCAUACUUCGUUUUCAUACAUGGAUCCUAUCUCGGAUUUAAUGGCUUCAAGCCAUUUGUUGGAACCCGGGCCUGCCAUCGCUUCUUCAUAGUUUGAAGGUUCACCAUUGUCUAACAACAUGAUUUCCAGGACAGGGUUGCCAUACCACUCUGGUGUGGAACGUGUCCUUGUGGACCUACGAAGUUCAGUAGCAACUUGAUCCGGAGUCUCAUGAUCAUCAUCAUUAACUUCCUCUCUAGUCGGUGCACGCACCACAGAAACAUCUUCCUGAGCUGCGCUACUUUCCGGUUCAAGAGGCUGUAUCUCAUCAAGUUCUACUUUCCUCCCACUUACUCCUUUCGAGAGAAACUCUUUCUCUAGAAAGGAUCCAUUCUUGGCAACAAAGAUCUUGCCUUCGGAUCUGAGGUAGAAGGUAUACCCAAUAGUUUCCUUAGGGUAUCCUAUGAAGACGCAUUUUUCCGACUUGGGUUCGAGCUUUUCAGGUUGAAGUUUCUUGACAUAAGCAUUGCAUCCCCAAACUUUCAGAAAUGACAGCUUAGGUUUCUUCCCAAACCAUAAUUCAUACGGUGUCGUCUCAACGGAUUUCGACGGAGCCCUAUUUAAAGUGAAUGCGGCAGUCUCUAAAGCAUAACCCGAAAAUGAUAGCGGUAGAUCGGUAAGAGACAUCAUAGAUCGCACCAUAUCCAAUAGAGUGCGAUUACGAUGUUCGAACACACCAUUACGCUGUGGUGUUCCAUGCGGCGUGAGCUGUGAAACAAUUCCACAUUUCCUUAAGUGUGUGCCAAACUCGUGACUCAAAUAUUCCCCUCCACGAUCUGAUUGUAAGAACUUUAUUUUCCUGUCACGUUGAUUCUCAACCUCACUCUGAAAUUCCUUGAACUUUUCAAAGGUCUCAGACUUGUGUUUCAUUAAGUAGACAUAUCCAUAUCUACUUAAGUCAUCAGUGAGGGUGAGGACAUAACGAUAGCCACCGCGAGCCUCAACGCUCAUUGGACCGCACACAUCAGUAUGUAUGAUUUCCAAUAAGUUGGUUGCUCGCUCCAUUGAUCCGAAGAACAGAGUCUUGUUCAUUUUGCCCAUGAGGCAUGGUUCGCAUGUGUCAAAUGAUUCAUAAUCAAGAGACUCCAAAAGUCCAUCUGCAUGGAGCUUCUUCAUGCGUUUGACACCAAUGUGACCAAGACGGCAGUGCCACAAGUAUGUGGGACUAUCAUUAUCAACCUUACAUCUUUUGGCAUUUACACUAUGAAUAUGUGUAACAUCACGUUCGAGAUUCAAUAAAAAUAAACCAUUGACCAGCGGGGCAUGACCAUAAAACAUAUCUCUCAUAUAAAUAGAACAACCAUUAUUCUCGGAUUUAAAUGAGUAGCCAUCUUGCAUUAAACGAGAUCCAGAUACAAUGUUCAUGCUCAAAGCUGGCACUAAAUAACAAUUAUUGAGGUUUAAAAUUAACCCCGUAGGUAAAUGUAGAGGUAGCGUGCCGACGGCGAUCACAUCGACCUUGGAACCAUUCCCGACGCGCAUCGUCACCUCGUCCUUCGCCAGUCUCCGUUUAUUUUGCAGCUCCUGUUUUGAGUUACAAAUAUGAGUAACCGCAUCGGUAUCAAAUACCCAGGAGCUACUACGAGCGCUGGUAAGGUACACAUCAAUAACAUGUAUAUCACAUAUACCUUUGGUGUUGCCGGCCUUCUUAUCCGCUAAGUACUUGGGGCAGUUCCGCUUCCAGUGACCAUUUCCCUUGCAAUAAAAGCACUGAGUCUCGGGCUUGGGUCCAUUCUUUGGCUUCUUCCCGGCAACUGAUUUACCGGGCGCGGCAACCCCCUUGUCAUCCUUCUUGGAGUUCUUCUUACCCUUGCCUUUCUUGAAACUAGUGGUCUUAUUUACCAUCAACACUUGAUGUUCCUUUUUUAUCUCUACCUCCGCUGAUUUUAGCAUUGAAAAUAACUCAGGAAUGGUCUUUUCCAUCCCUUGCAUAUUGUAGUUCAUCACAAAGCUCUUGUAGCUAGGUGGAAGAGACUGGAGGAUUCUGUCAAUGACCGAGUCAUCUGGAAGAUUAACUCCCAGCUGAGACAAGCGGUUGUGCAACCCAGACAUCUUGAGUAUAUGCUUGCUGACAGAACUGUUUUCCUCCAUCUUACAACUGUAGAACUUGUCGGAGACUUCAUAUCUCUCGACUCGGGCAUGAGCUUAAAAAACCAUUUCAAGCUCUUGGAACAUCUCAUAUGCUCUGUGCUGCUCAAAACGCUUUUGGAGCCCCGGUUCUAAGCUGUAAAGCAUGCCGCACUGAACCAGGGAGUAAUCAUCACUACGCGGCUGCCAGGCGUUCAUAACGUCUUGAGUUGCUGGGAAAAUGGGUGCGUCACCUAGCGGUGCUUCAAGGACAUAUGCUUUCUUGGCAGCUAUGAGGAUGAUCCUCAAGUUACGGACCCAAUCCGUAUAGUUGCUACCAUCGUCUUUCAGCUUGGUUUUCUCUAGGAACGCGUUGAAGUUGAGGGCAACAUUAGCGUGGGCCAUUUGAUCUACAAGACAUAUUGUAAAGACAUUUUAGACUAAGUUCAUGAUAAUUAAGUUCAUCUAAUCAGAUUAUUUAAUGAACUCCCACUCAGAUAGACAUCCCUCUAGUCAUCUAAGUGAUACAUGAUCCGAAUCGACUAGGCCGUGUCCGAUCAUCACGUGAGACGGACUAGUUGUCAACGGUGAACAUCUCCAUGCUGAUCGUAUCUACUAUACGACUCAUGUUUGACCUUUCGGUCUCUCGUGUUCCGAGGCUAUGUCUGUACAUGCUAGGCUCGUCAAGUCAACCUAAGUGUUUCGCAUGUGUAAAUCUGGCUUACACCUGUUGUAUGCGAACGUUAGAAUCUAUCACACCCGAUCAUCACGUGGUGCUUCGAAACAACGAACCUUCGCAACGGUGCACAGUUAGGGGGAACACUUUUCUUGAAAUUUUAGUGAGGGAUCAUCUUAUUUAUGCUACCGUCAUUCUGAGCAAAUAAGAUGUAAACAUGACAAACAUCACAUGCAAAUCAUAAAUUGACAUGAUAUGGCCAAUAUCAUCUUGCGCCUUUUGAUCUCCAUCUUCGAGGCGCGGCAUGAUCACCUUCGUCACCGGCAUAACACCAUGAUCUCCAUCAUCAUGAUCUCCAUCAUCGUGUCUUCAUGAAGUUGUCUCGCCAACUAUUACUUAUACUACUAUGGCUAACGAUUAGCAAUAAGGUAAAGUAAUUACAUGGCGUUUUCAAUGACACGCAGGUCAUACAAUAAAUUAAGACAACUCCUAUGGCUCCUGCCGGUUGUCAUACUCAUCGACAUGCAAGUCGUGAUUCCUAUUACAAGAACAUGAUCAAUCUCAUACAUCAUAUAUAUCAUUCAUCACAUCCUUUUGGCCAUAUCACAUCACAUAGCAUACCCUGCAAAAACAAGUUAGACGUCCUCUAAUUGUUGUUGCAUGUUUUACGUGGCUGCUAUGGGUUUCUAGCAAGAAUAUUUCUUACCUAUGCAAAAGCCACAACGGUGAUAGGCCAAUUGCUAUUUACCUUUCAUAAGGACCCUUUUCAUCGAAUCCGAUCCGACUAAAGUGGGAGAGACAGACACCCGCUAGCCACCUUAUGCAUCAAGUGCAUGUCGGUCGAUGGAACCAGUCUCACGUAAGCGUACGUGUAAGUUCGGUCCGGGCUGCUUCAUCCCACAAUGCCGCCGAAUCAAGAUAAGGCUAGUAACGGUAAGCAAAUUGAACAAAUCAUCGCCCACAACUACUUUGUGCUCUACUUGUGCAUAGAAUCUACGCAUAGACCUAGCUCUGAUAUCACUGUUGGGGAACAUAGUAAUAAUUCAAAAUAUUCCUACGUGUCACCAAGAUCAAUCUAGGAGAUGCUAGCAACGAGAGAGAGGGAGUGCAUCUUCGUACCCUUGAAGAUCGCUAAGCAGAAGCGUUACAAGGAACACGGAUGAUGGAGUCGUACUCGCGGCGAUUCAAAUCGCGGAAGAUCCGAUCUAGUGCCGAACGGACGACACCUCCGCGUUCAACACACGUACAACCUAGGGACGUCUCCUCCUUCUUGAUCCAGCAAGGGGGAAGGAGAAGUUGAGGAAGAACUCCGACAGCAUGACAACGUGGUGGUGAUGGAGCUCGUGGUUCUCCGGCAGGGCUUCGCCAAGCACUACGGAGGAGGAGGAGGUGUUGGAGAGGGGGAGGGGCUGCGCCAGGAGAAGGGUAUGGCAGCCCUCCCACCCACCCCCCACUAUUUAUAGGGGGAAGGGGAGAGGGGACCAGCCCCCUAGAUCCCAUCUACAAGGGGGGACUUGCCCCCCAAGUUUGGUGGGAGGCGCCCCCACCCCCUAGGGUUUCCAACCCUAGGCGCCUUGGGCCCUUGGGGUGGGGUCCACUAGACCACUAGGGGGCUGGUUCCCACCCUUGUUCAGCCCAUUAAGUCCCCCGAGGCAGGUGGCCCCACCCGGUGGACCCCCGGACACCUUUCGGUGGUCCCGGUACAAUACCGAUAACCCCCGAAACAAUUCCGGCGACUGAAACUGGACUUCCCAUAUAUAAAUCUUCACCUCCGGACCAUUCUGGAACUCCUCGUGACGUCCGGAAUCUCAUCCGGGACUCCGAACAACCUUCGGUAACCACAUACUAUUUCCCAUAACAACUCUAGCAUCACCGAACCUUAAGUGUGUAGACCCUACGGGUUCGGGAACCAUGUAGACAUGACCGAGACAUCUCUCCGGCCAAUAACCAACAGCGGGAUCUGGAUACCCAUGUUGGCUCUCACAUGUUCCACGAUGAUCUCAUCGGAUGAACCAUGAUGUCGGGGAUUCAAUCAAUCCCGUAUGCAAUUCCCUUUGUCUAUAGAUAUGUUACUUGCCCGAGAUUCGAUCGUCGGCAUCCCCAUACCUCGUUCAAUCUUGUUACCGGCAAGUCUCUUUACUCGUUCCGUAACACAUGAUCCCAUGACCAACUCCUUAGUCACAUUGAGCUCAUUAUGAUGAUGCAUUACCAAGUGGGCCCAAAGAUACCUCUCCGUCAUACGGAGUGACAAAUCCCAGUCUCGAUUCAUGCCAACCCAACAUACACUUUCAGAGAUACCUGUAGUGUACCUUUAUAGCCACCCAGUUACGUUGUGACGUUUGGUACACCCAAAGAAUUCCUAUGGUAUCCGGGAGUUGCACAAUCUCAUGGUCUAAGGAAACGAUACUUGACAUUAGAAAAGCUCUAGCAAAAUGAACUACACGAUCUUGUGCUACGCUUAGGAUUGGGUCUUGUCCAUCACAUCGUUCUCCCAAUGAUGUGAUCCCGUUAUCAACGACAUCCAAUGUCCAUGGCCAGGAAACCAUGAACAUCUAUUGAUCAACGAGCUAGUCAACUAGAUGCUUACUAGGGACAUUUUACGAUCUAUGUAUUCACAGAUGCAUUACGGUUUCCGGUUAAUACAAUUAUAGCAUGAACAAUAGACAAUUAUCAUGAACAAGGAAAUAUAAUAAUAACCAAUUUAUUAUUGCCUCUAGGGCAUAUUUCCAACAUAUGCAUAGAUUACCCCAAUAUCACCGCAUGAAUCCGCGAGUUGAAUGCCAUAACACAUAUCAAGUGAAUCAAUAUGAUACCCCAAUUGUCACCUCAAGUAUUCAUACCGCAAGACAUACAUCAUGUGUUCUCAUCUCUGAAUAUUCAAUCCGACAUGACAAAACUUCAAAGGGUAAAGACUCAAUUCAUCACAACAAGAGUAUAGAGGGGAGAAACAUCAUAUGAUCCGACUAUAUUAACAAAGCCCAUGACAUAGAUCACGAGAGAGAGAGAGAGAUUAAACACAUAGCUACUGGUACAAACCCUCAACCUCGAGGGUGGACUACUCCCUCCUCAUCGUGGUGGCCGCCGGGAUGAUGAAGAUGGCCACCGGAGAUGAUUCCCCCCUCCGGCAGGGUGCCGAAACGGGGUCUAGAUUGGUUUUCGUGGAUACAGAGACCUUGUGGCGGCGGAACUUCUGAUCUAGGGUAACCCCGAUGGGUUUCGGAAUAUUUGGGAAUUUAUAGUGCAAAGAGGGGGUGCGGGAGGCCACCGAGGUGGGCAUAACCCACCUGGGCGCGCCAGGGGGGCCUGGCGCGCCCUGGUGGGUUGUGCCCCCUCGGGGCACCCCCCAGGUGCUGCUCUGGCCCAAAGGAUGUCUCCUGGCCCAUAAGAAAUCAUCGUGGAGUUUCGUUGCGUUUGGACUCCGUUUGGUAUUGAUUUCUUGCGAUGUAAAAAACAAGCAAAAAACAGCAACUGGCACUGGGCAUUGGGUCAAUAGGUUAGUCCCAAAAAUUGAUAUAAAGUUGCUAUAAAAUGAUUGUAAAACAUCCAAGAAUGAUAAUAAAACAACAUGAAUACUUUAUAAAGACGUAUCAACAUCCUUGAUACCAUGAUACACGACAAUCUCCUUGUCCAUACUAGCACGAAACCUAACCAGGCAUGAAAAGAAUCACAUGAUAUAUGCAUUGCACAUGACAUUAGCAAUGCAACCACAUCUAAUAAGAACAUGAUGCCCAUGUCUUUACCUAUCCUACAGUAAACUCACAUUCGUCUAAUUUAUUAUCCUUUUUCCGCAUUCAAGAUCUAAUCCCACAUUAAAUUGAAAAGGUACAACUUCUACACACUAAAAUUCACUUCGGUCCAUGUUGCCAUCGCAUCCACAAAUACGCCCCCUAUAGAAGUCCACACCUUUUCGGCCAGGGAGAGAGAGAGGCAGACAUAUGGGAUUGAUAGUGAACCCGCUAAACGCUAAACCACAGCUUCUUUUGGCAGAAAGUUACAACAAGGGGAGGUUUCUUUCCCCCCUUGCACGCAUCCUUGACACCACGAUACACGACAAUCUUCUUUUCCAUACUAGCACGAAACCUAACCGGACACGAAAAGAAUCUCAUGAUGUGCAUUGCACAUCACGUUGACAAUGCAACCGCUUCUAAUAGGAUCUUGAUGCCCAUGUUACACAUCCUGUUGUUAACUCACAUUCGUCCAAUUUAUUAUCCUUUUUCCGCACUGAAGAUCUAAUCCCAUAUUAAAUUGAAAAGAUACAACUUCACACUAAAAUUCACUUCAAUCCAUGUCGCCAUCGCUUCCACAAAUAGGACCCCCUACAAAAGUCCACGCCUUUUCGGCUAGGGAGAGAGAGAGAGGUAGACAUAUGGGAUUGAUAGUGAACCCGCUAAAUGCUAAACCAUGGCUUCUUUCGGCAGAAAGUUACAAAAAGGGGACGGUUUCUUCCCCCCUUGCACACAUCCUUGGCACCAUGAUACACGUAAAUCUGCUUUUCCAUACUAGCACGAAACCUAACCGGACACGAAAAGAAUCUUAUGAUAUGCAUUGCACAUCACAUUGACAAUGCAACCACACCUAAUAAGAUCUUGAUGCCCAUGUUUUUACAUAUCCUGGUGUUAACUCACAUUCGUCCAAUUUUUUUCCGCGUUGAGGAUCUAAUCCCAUAUUAAAUUGAAAAGAUACAACUUCUACACAAUAAAAUUCACUUCAGUCCAUGUUGCCAUCACUUCCACAAAUAGGACCCCCUACAAAGGUCCACACCUUUUCGCCCAGGGAGAGAGAGAGGUAGACAUAUGGGAUUGAUAGUGAACCCGCUAAAUGCUAAACCACGGCUUCUUUCGGCAGAAAGUUACAAAAAGGGGACGUUUUCUCCCCCUUGCACGCAUCCUUGGCACCAUGAUACACGACAACCUUCUUUUCCAUACUAGCACGAAACCUAACCGGACACGAAAAGAAUCUCAUGAUAUGCAUUGCACAUUACUUUGACAAUGCAACCACAUCUAAUAAGAUCCUGAUGCCCAUGUUUUUACAUAUCCUGUUGUCAACUCAUAUUCGUCCAAUUUAUUAUCCUUUUUCGGCGUUGAAGAUCUAAUCCCAUAUUAAAUUGAAAAGAUACAACUUCUACACACUAAAAUUCACUUCAGUCCAUGUUGCCAUCUUCCACAAAUAGGACCCCCUACAAAAGUACACACCUUUUCGGCCAGGGAGAGAGGUAGAGGUAGACAUAUGGGAUUGAUAGUGAACCCGCUAAACGCUAAACCGCGGCUUCUUUCGGCAUAAAGUUACAAAAAGGGGACGGUUUCUCCCCCCGGCACGCAUCCUUGACACCACGAUACAUGGCAACCUCCUUGUCCAUACUAGCACGAAACGUAACCGGACACGAAAAGAAUCACCUGAUAUGCAUUGCAUGUUACGUUGACAAUGCGCAACCACAUCUAGUAAGAUCCUGAUGCCCGUGUCUUCACAUAUCCUGUUGUAAACUCACAUUCGUCCAAUUUAUUAUCUUUUUUCCUCAUUGAAGAUCUAAAUCCCAUAUUAAAUUGAAAAGAUACAACUUCUAGACACCAACAUUCACUUUGGUCCACGUGGCCAUCACUUCCGCAAAAUAGGAGCCCCCUACAGAAGUCCACGCCUUUUCAGCCAGGGAGAGAGAGAGAGAGAUAGAGAUAGACAUACGAGAUUGAUAGUGGACCUGCUAAACGCUAAACCGCGACUUCUUUUGCGCAGAAAAUACAAAAAAAGGCGGGACUGUUUCACCCCCCCUACACGCAUCCUUGACACCAUGAUACACGACAACCUCCUGGUCCAUAAUAGCACGAAACGUAACCGGACACGAAAAGAAUCACAUGAUAUGCAUUGCACAUCACGUUGACAAUGCAACCACAUCUAAUAAGAUCCUGAUCCCCAUGUCUUCACAUAUCCUGCUGUGAACUCACAUUCGUCCAAUUUAUUAUACUUUUUCCGCAUUGAAGAUCUAAUCCCAUAUUAAAUUGAAAAGAUACAACUUCUACACACCAACAUUCACUUAGGUCCACGCUGCCAUCACUUCCGCAAAUAGGACUCCCCUACAGAAGUCAACGCCUUUUCAGCCAGGGAGAGAAAGAGAUAGAGAUAGACAUACGUGAUUGAUAGUGAACCCGCUAAACGCUAAACCGCAGCUUCUUUUGGGCAGAAAAUACAAAAAAAGGCGGGGGCAGUUUCAUUCCCAGCGUACACGCAUCCUUGACACCACGAUACACGGCAAUCUUCUUUUCCAUACUAGCACGAAACAUAGCCGGACACGAAAAGAGCCGCAUGACUUGUAUCGCACAUCACGUUGGCAACGCAAUCACAUCUAAUAAGACCUCGAUGCCCAAGUCUCCACAAACGUGAAGUUCGUCCGUCCAGCGUUUUUGUUUCGCACCAGAGAUCCAAUCCCAAAACAAAAUAAAUAAAUUUUAAAAGACACAACCCAUCCACACAACCAAAAUCCACUUCACCCCCACCACCCCCACCGUCACUUCCCCAAACCGGACCUCCUGCAAAAAGACCCCCGUCUUUCCAGCCCAAAUGCAAGAACCGGGAGCCCCCCUUCCCAUUUCCCAAUAGGGGCCUGUGUGUGGUCUCUCCCUCGCCAGCAUCAGCAUUGGCGCACGUGCGNNNNNNNNNNNNNNNNNNNNNNNNNNNNNNNNNNNNNNNNNNNNNNNNNNNNNNNNNNNNNNNNNNNNNNNNNNNNNNNNNNNNNNNNNNNNNNNNNNNNNNNNNNNNNNNNNNNNNNNNNNNNNNNNNNNNNNNNNNNNNNNNNNNNNNNNNNNNNNNNNNNNNNNNNNNNNNNNNNNNNNNNNNNNNNNNNNNNNNNNNNNNNNNNNNNNNNNNNNNNNNNNNNNNNNNNNNNNNNNNNNNNNNNNNNNNNNNNNNNNNNNNNNNNNNNNNNNNNNNNNNNNNNNNNNNNNNNNNNNNNNNNNNNNNNNNNNNNNNNNNNNNNNNNNNNNNNNNNNNNNNNNNNNNNNNNNNNNNNNNNNNNNNNNNNNNNNNNNNNNNNNNNNNNNNNNNNNNNNNNNNNNNNNNNNNNNNNNNNNNNNNNNNNNNNNNNNNNNNNNNNNNNNNNNNNNNNNNNNNNNNNNNNNNNNNNNNNNNNNNNNNNNNNNNNNNNNNNNNNNNNNNNNNNNNNNNNNNNNNNNNNNNNNNNNNNNNNNNNNNNNNNNNNNNNNNNNNNNNNNNNNNNNNNNNNNNNNNNNNNNNNNNNNNNNNNNCCUCCUCCUCGAGCCCUCCCCCCGCGUCGACAAUUCCCCGUCCCCCAAAUCCCAAAUCCCCAAUCCCCCGCGCCGCCGCCCCGCUCGCCGUCGUACGGAUUCCGCCCCCGCGGCCCCGGCCGGCCCCCAAUCGCCGUUUGCCGUGGAGGCGGGGUCCCCUCGCGGCGUCGCUAGCCCUCCCCGCGAUUCUAGGGUUUCGGGCGGGGUUGCCCCAAUUCGCCGGCCCGGCCCCGUGCCUCGUUCCCGCGGGUGCUUCCGUCCGCCCCGCGCGGGUCCUGAUCGCUCGCGGUCGCGCCUGCUCCUCGCUGCCGCUCUGUCCACUGCUGCUGUCUGGUAUACAGUGCGCUCCGUAUGCUGAAAAAUUGGGCUGGGUUUUGUGCCUGAUUCAGAGAGGGCUAGGUGGUUAAAUUCUCGCUGACCGACCCUCCAGCAGGAAGAAAUAUUGCAGCUUUUGAAGGGUUUCCGCAGGCCGCGUGUGCCCGCCUCGGGAGGGGCUGCCGCUUCUUUCAGCUUGCUCGGCGCCACGCCACACAGCGCUGGAAUGACGUCGCCCGCGCUUGUCUGAGGCGCGGUUGCCAGCGACAAUGAAUGUGGGGCAGGCGGCGCACCUGUCCGGGCAGAUGUCCGGGCAGGGGGCGCAGAUGAAUCAGGUUGUUGGCGGUGGCAGCGGUGUCGUCGGCGCUGACGGCAUGCCCCUGCCCCAGCACCAGCACCAGCAGAUGCAGGAUGGCGUGGGCCUUGUUGCCCCGGGGGUCGAUCAACAGUUUGCGCUCAUGCGCUCCAAUAUGCGUGACAAGAUGUAAGCACUCCACACUGCAAACUUCUUUCAGUGCCUGCUCUAAGGAAAGGAAAAAAAAACUUCUUUCGGUGCUGGGUUAUGUAUAUUUAGUAGGCGCUAGCGCGGGUGUUAAUUAAUUGUACUGCGUUAAUGCGGCCUAUCCUUAUCAACGUUUAUACGGCGAAUAUGUAUUUCGUUCCCAAAAUUAUAAAGGUGAUCACACUUUCUCACGCAACCAAAGUUUAUGACUUUCCUUAAUUCACAAGAGCCCGCAUAUAAAUCUUGGCACUGGGGCGCAGUUGAAUCACCUUCCCGACUAAAAUUUUAGGUUCGCCGCCAUGGCUGAUGGUUCGAAUCUGAUAGAAAGUAAUGGCAUGUCUUUUAAGCCUGAUACUUGUUCGUAAAUUGGCAGAUAUGAGUAUAUAGGAAGGAAGCAGACAUCUGCUGACUGGAGGCGGAGGCUGCCGGAACUCGCAAAGCGGCUAGAGGAAAUCUUGUUUAGAAAAUUCCCAAGCAGGGUAUAUUUCUCUAUUUCCUUUUUCUUUUUUACUUCUUGUUUGGAUCUAGCAAAAUUUGAUCUCACAGUUCCAUCAUUUUGGCUGUUUGAGCAGAAUGAGUACUACAAUAUGAUGAGGCAACCAGUGGGGCCACAAUUGCAGUUUGCUAUCAAGACCUUGAGUGCUCAGAACCAACUAAAUCAACAAAACCAACAAAUGUCAAGGCAGAUGGCAUCUUCCUCUGGUUAUAGCACAAUGAUUCCAACACCUGGUAUCACACAAGGUGCAAGUGGAAAUUCUAGAAUGUCUUAUGGAACAGACAAUAUGGGUCUUUCCUCAUCUGGUGCAGGCAUGGUUCCUCAGAAUGCCAACAUGGGUACCUCGAUGCCUGGUAUGGAUAGAUUAACUUAGCUUCUGCUCAUAUCAUUAGGGCUGUGUUGUACCUUAACUUGAAAUUCCCUUGUAGCCAUGCUGUAGGGUUUCUAGCCUAAGUAUCCAAUGCCCAGCAGUAUAUUCGGCAAAAUUCAAUCUAUGUGGUAGAAAAACACCACAUCUUUUGGGAGUCUUGCUUAAUAGCUUGUAUUUAAAAAGAACAUCCACAAAUAGCUUAUAUAUCCAUGACCCAAUUGGGGCAUUUCUUUCGAGGUCUCUGUUGUUUAUAAUUGGAAGAUUAUUUGUGAGAAGCUGAAGCAUAUGUGGUUGCCUGCCACUGUUUGUUCUCAUUUUUUGCUGGUUCAUUUUACAUGGCUCUACUUAUUUUUAAUUGCUCCUUACAGGUACAAUGUCUAACGGCUACCAGCAUCUAACUACCAGUGCCCCACUAAAUUCGACCACAAAUAGUGUCCCAUCUACGAUGGGUCCAGUGGGUAUUCAGCGACAAGUAACUCAUAUGAUCCCAACUCCUGGAUUCAGUAAUCAACAAAAUGUACCUACUAAUUCUGACUAUUCAAAUGGAACUGGAUAUUUCAAUGGUGAGUCAGCUAUGACACCACAUAUGCAGCAGCAGAAGCAAUUUCAAAGCAACCAGAGUAGCCAUCAAAUACAGCAUAUUGGGGGACACAGUAAUUCUGGAAUACAUUCAAGCAUGCUGGAGAAUUCUUCUGCAUUUGGUUUAUCAGAUGGACAUGUGAAUGGUGGAAUGGGAUUGCAUGGGUCAAACACGCAAAUUACAAAUAGAAAUGCAGCACCAGAAGGAUAUAUGAACAUGUCCUCUUUUGGAAGUUCGCCCAGACCUUUGCAGCAACAGUUCAAUCAGCAUCCAACACAGAGAAUAUCAAGUAUGUGUGCUGACGUGUCCUAUCUUUUAUUGCCUUAUCAUCGUGGCUUGUGCCAUAAUCUUGAAGUCAUGUUCAUGAAGGGUGUAUAACAAAAGCUAGUGAUGGGUUUAUUAUUCGUUUGCAAUAUGUUCAAUUUCUAAUUAUCCAAGUCAUUUGUACAAACUAACUUUGUUAGAGCAUUGUUGUUAGGGAACAGCUAAAAAGUAACACAAAGCCUUACUUUAGUUCCUUGCUAUUGGAGUCACUGGCUUUAUAAUUAAUGUGUUUGCUAGAGUCCUUGAACCUAUGGAGGGUGAAAGUGUUAUUGUUUCCACCGUAGUACCAAUGAUGUGAGUUUCCGUAUUGACAGACACACGUGCACAGUCAUGCAUAGCGAAAAUGCAAAAUUCAUAUCGUACCCUCUUUACGAUGACAAACUAAAUUGUGCCGUUUUUUGUUGUGCAGCAUCAGUUGACAUGGGUGGUUCAGGAAGUUUCUACGGUACUGGUUCUUCUGCUUUAGCAACAGCAAAUAAUCAGAACAUGGGUGCUGCAAACUUGCAGUCUAGAUCAAGAAUGAAUUCCAUGCUGCUUAGCAAUCAGCUAAACAUGCAAUCCAUUCAAGGGCAGCCACAGAUAAAAACUGAGGUUUUGGAUCAGUCAGAAAAACUCAAUUUCCAGCCAUCUCAGUUGUCUCAUGAACAACUACUCCGACAGCAGCUUUCAAUGCAGCAACAUCAGGUGCAGCCAAGUUCCCAGUUUGUGCAAAACCAAUAUCAUCUCAAUCAACAGAUACCAAAUUCACAGCAUCAGCAGGCUAUGCUGAGGAGCAAUUCCUUUAAACAGUCUCAACUGAAUUCCAGCCAUUCUAUGCAAGUGUCAGAACAGGGAACUUUGCCACACACCGAACUAACAUCUUCACAAGCUACUGAACCUCCUGCACUUCCAAAUUUCCAGGGUCAAUACCAGCAAAGAAGUGCUCACGAUAACGUCAAAGGUGCGCAGGUCUUUGGACAUCUUUCUGGAUCCCAAAAUUUCAGUGCUUCUGGUUCUCACGAUUCUCAGCCAUUGUUGCACCCUAAUCAGCAGCUUGAUGUUAGCUCGAGUGAUGUCAGUUAUGUUUUGAAAGGAACACAGACAGAGCAAAUGCAGCAGCACCAAUGGCGGCCUCAAACAAUGGAAAAGGUUCCUAUCAGUAGCAAUUUAUCUCUUGAAAAGCAAAUGCAGGAUGACUUUUGUCAGAGAGCAAUGGCCCAGGACGGAGCACAGCAGCCAUUUUCAUCUGACUGGCGUGUUUCUGGUUGCACUGUGACCUCAGUUGACCCUGCACUGCCAAAGCUCCCCGCUGGAGGAUUGGAACAGCCCACUGGAAAUAUCAAUUACCUCCGUCAGAUGAGGUGGUUACUGUUGCUGUUUCAUGCAAAAGGAUGUUCUUCUCCUCUUGGUAGUUGUAAAUUACCUCGUUGUGUUCAGCUGCAGGAUUUUGUGAAGCAUUUGGACAACUGCCAAAGAAAAGAUUGUCCACAGAAGAAGUGCAGUAAGUCAAGAAUGUUAAUUGAGCAUUAUAAGACUUGUGUUGAUGAGCAGUGUCCUGUAUGUAGUAAUGUAAAGAAAUUUUUGCGCCUCUCAGCUGAACAUGCAAGUAAGCAAAAAGUCCCUGAGCCUAGAAAAGUUGCUCAACAGAAUAUGACUCAAAGAAUCAUGAAUGGGGUAGACAGUGAUAUAAUGGACAUUGACCCAGUGUCUGUUGAAUCCUUUGAUGGUCAGCCAUCUGUUCCAAAACGUUUGAAGAUGCAGCCCGCGUCACCCAAUGUUCCAGAGCAUGAAAUACUUAGAGCCUCCAAUCCUCAGGUGAACCCAGGGUUUGUACUACAGGAAUCACAUCCCGAGCUGCUUGAGCAGAAUAAAAAGACGGCAUACAUGAAAAGAGAGUUGGAUGUAAAGGCUGACAUGCGACCUCUGCAGAAGCCCGUAAAGAUGGGUUAUGGUGCUGAUGGAAAUGUGCCUACAGCGAGGCACAAUGUCAUUCCUGGUGUUUCAAAUGAGAUGAAGUCUCAUGUCAAGCAAGAAAUCUUGCCGGUUGACAAAGGGGCAAGUGAAAAUGUUCAUGAGGUUAAGAAUGAAACAAAUGAUUCAACAGAGGCCACAGCACUGAAAUCAGGAAAACCAAAAAUAAAAGGUGUUUCAUUGACCGAGUUGUUCACUCCAGAACAAAUCAAUGCACAUAUAGAGAGUCUAAGGCUGUGGGUGGGCCAGGUAUGUCUUUUACUUAAUAAACUGCUUUAACAUUGGGUAUUUUUUUCCCGGAAUUACCAGAACAGUUGUCAAGUAAAUAUGGAGAUGAGUAGAAAGCCUUUAAUUUUCAUGAAAUGUGUAAUAUGUGCUUUAAUGUCCUCAUUUACACACGGAAACAUCAGAAAGCUUACUGUUUGUUUGUAUUUCCAAUGGGUGAAAAAAUAUUUCCCUCCUUCACUUCUGCACAUAAUGUCUAACUACUACGUAAGCUUGCACAAAAAUUACUGCGCUGUCGCUUUACCAAACUUUAAUUACUAGAAGUUGAACUAUGUCGAACCAAAAGAAAAAAAACCCUUAUCUUCAUGAGAUAAAUGUUGCAUGUUCUUUUUUGUGUAUGUGUGUUUUUGUGCAAGUACUCUUAAUCUCAUCAUGCAGUUGUCAUGAUGAAAACUUGUACUGUAACCCUAAUAUGUGUUUUUAGAAGGAACAAUUUUACAUGUCUUGCCAUUUGACAGAGCAAGGCUAAAGCUGAAAAGAAUCAACUGCUGGUGUCUUCCGAAAAUGAAAAUUCAUGCCAGCUCUGCAAAGUGGAAAAACUCACUUUUGAACCUCCACCCAUAUAUUGCUCCCCUUGUGGUGCUCGGAUAAAGCGAAAUGCACCAUACUAUACUGUUGGUUCUGGUGACACCCGCCACUUUUUCUGUAUUCCAUGUUACAAUGAGUCCCGUGGUGACACCAUUGAGGUUGAAGGACAGAAUUUUUUGAAGGCCCGAUUUGAGAAGAAAAGAAAUGAUGAGGAAACUGAAGAAUGGGUAAGUUCCAUACCUCUGUUCUGGUGGUUGUAUAACUACAAUUUUGGUUAUGCUUGAUUUGUACUAAUCUUUCUGAAUGAUGUGUUCCACAGUGGGUUCAGUGUGACAAAUGUGAAUGCUGGCAGCAUCAGAUAUGUGCUCUGUUUAAUGGCAGAAGAAAUGAUGGAGGACAAGCAGAGUAUACUUGCCCGAAUUGCUAUAGUAAUGAAGUGAAGUGUGGGCUGCGCAUGCCUCUACCACAGAGUGCUGUUCUUGGAGCAAGUGAUCUGCCAAGAACUGUUCUUAGCGAUCAUAUAGAAGAGCGGCUUUUUAAACGGCUUAAGUGGGAGAGACAGAGUCGGGCGAAUAAUUCAAAUUGUAGUGUUGAUGAGGUUAGUGAAACUAAGUCUUGUUGGAAGUGCAUGCGUACUUGAAGUAUGUUAUAUGGGACCUCAACGUACUUUGGUAGUAUAUUACCUUAUGUCACAAAAAUAUGCUACCUGAAAGUGUUAUCUAAGUGCCUACCCACCAUGUAAAUCCUUAAAAAAAUACCAUGCAAAUAAUUGCAGCCUACUAUAAUGAUUGCCCGGAAAAACAGAAAACAAAAUGCCUGUUUAAUUUUUUUUUCAGACCCCAUUGCAACCUUUUCCAUCAACCAGGAUGAACUAGCAGUUUAUUUAAUUAAUAGUUUUCCAUCAACCUGGUAUGUAAUGAGGUGUGCCAUUUUGGAGAAUCGAUUAAUAGUAUGAAAUUGCCCAUUAAUUGCUCGGAAGCUUCAAGUAUAUAUUAAAGGCUUACAUGAAAAAUAUACUCCCUCCGUCCCAUAAUAUAAGAGCGUUUUUUACACUAGUGUAGUGUCAAAAACGCUUUUAUAUUAUGGGACGGAGGGAGUACCAAAUUGUAUUUAUAUUUAAAGUUUCAAAUGCGGUCAUAUAGUGCAAACUUGUUGCUGAUUGUUUACGACCCAAUGAAAAGCACAGCAACAAAAAAAUGGGCUACAAAAUGAUGGAUGGCUUGAAAAAUCAACUAGGAUUGAUCUUUUUGGCAGUUCAGAGACCCGAAGCGUAUAUGCGCUUUACUUAACUUUUUUACUUGAAGUAUGUUCUAUAUCUUGAUAAUUUAUGUGCUACUUUUUUGGACGAUGGCUGGAAAAAUCAACAAGGAAGUGGUUUAACUUCACUUCCUGUAAUUUGGACUACACCAGAUACCAUUCAUUUUGGCAUCAUUAUGAACUAUUUUGAUAGAAAUGUUCCCUCCAUCACUUUUAAAGUCUAACUGUUCCAUAUUUGUUAGGUCGCCGGAGCAGAAGGUCUUGUGGUCAGAGUUGUUUCAUCGGUGGAUAAGAAGGUUGAAGUUAAACCACGCUUUUUGGAAAUUUUUCAAGAAGAUAAUUACCCGACAGAGUUCCCUUACAAGUCCAAGGUAGGAAGUUGUACCUAAAGUAUAAAUUAUGCUGACAACAGACUCUGAUAUCCAUGAUUCUGUUCCUGUGAUUGUUUGGCAGGCUGUUCUUUUGUUCCAGAAAAUAGAAGGCGUAGAAGUGUGCUUAUUUGGAAUGUAUGUUCAAGAAUUUGGUGCUGACUGCGCUUACCCGAACCAACGUCGAGUUUAUUUGUCAUACCUGGAUUCUGUGAAAUACUUCAGACCUGAGAUUAAAGCAGCCACUGGAGAGGCCUUGCGUACAUUCGUCUACCAUGAAAUUCUGGUAAGUUGCUGUAUGCUGAAUUUUAAUCACAGUUGUGAAUAUUUUCUCUUGCCAGUCUGGUCAGAAAAUUCCCGUAUGAAACUAUUAGAUGUGAUGCCUUCCUCUUUAAGCUAGCAUUUUCCUACAAUCUUACUCCAGUUAUCUAUGUGUACAGAUAGGAUAUCUUGAAUACUGCAAGCAGCGUGGAUUCACAAGCUGUUAUAUAUGGGCUUGCCCACCUUUGAAAGGUGAAGAUUACAUUUUAUAUUGCCAUCCUGAGAUUCAGAAGACUCCAAAAUCUGACAAACUGCGGGAGUGGUAAGACCAUUGAUUGACACAUAUGUUACUCUGCUUACAAUGAAUUCCUGGUUGCAUGAUUUCUGAUGUCUUCACACUCAGGUACUUAGCCAUGCUUCGAAAAGCUACUAAGGAGGAGAUUGUUGUUGAGCUUACAAAUCUGUAUGACCAUUUCUUCAUUACCAUGGGAGAGUGCAAGGCUAAAGUUACCGCUUCUCGUUUGCCUUACUUUGAUGGAGAUUAUUGGCCUGGAGCUGCGGAAGAUAUGAUUAAUCAACUGCGUCAAGAAGAAGAUGACCGAAAGCUUCAGAAGAAGAGUAAGACAAAGAAAAUUAUUACAAAAAGAGCUCUUAAAGCUGCUGGCCACACUGAUCUCAGUGGAAAUGCUUCCAAGGACGCUAUGCUGAUGCAGAAGGUAAGCUUAUGCUCUGGUAAUUGUAAUACUAGAUCUCUCGGAGCCCCCUCUUUUGUGUUUGUGAAAUUGUACUUGUUUGUUUCAGUUGGAUGACAUCUUUCUCAUGAAUUCGAUUUUGAUAUAUGCAGCUUGGGGAAACCAUUUAUCCAAUGAAGGAAGAUUUUAUUAUGGUUCAUUUGCAGUAUUCUUGUAGUCACUGUUGUAUCCUUAUGUCGUCUGGAAAACGCUGGGUCUGCCAUCAAUGCAGAAGUUUUUACAUCUGUGACAAGUAAGUCAAUUUCAUAAACAAUUUGACACCUGUGCUAUAGAGGCCACAUGUACUUAUAUACUAUUCCCUCCGUUCCUAAAUAUAAGUCUUUUUUGAUUCCAAUAGACUACAUACGAAGCAAAAUGAGUGAAUCCACACUCUAAAAUACGUCUACUAAAAAGCACGGACACGGGGACGGAAAGACGGGGAUACGCAUACGGGGAUACGGGAUACGGCAUUUUUCAAAAACAGCCAUUCGGGGAUACGUCGAGUAUAUAUAAAAUAAAAUAAAAAUAUGCCAUAUAAUAUACAAUUAAGACAGAAAAUUAAUGAGAAAGAGAUCAUAAUAGAGGAUAUUGCCCCAUUUGGUGUCUCUUUUAUCAAGUGAUGAUUGAUUGAUCCUCAUCCCCCCAUGUCAUGUUGUCAUUGCAAGCUGCAUCUAUCUUGCAAAACACAUCAAACACAGACAGUACAGAAGAUUAGAAGACAAGACAUAAUUGGAAGACAAUGCAAGCAUGAGAAGCAGCAGCACCACCAGCAUAAGCGGCAGCUCAAGCAAGCAGCAGCCAGCAAGCAACCUCCAGCAGCACAAGCAAAUCUGAAGGAUAAAAGAGGAAGAGGUUGAGGAAAGAGGAGAGGGGAGAGGCUGCUGGGUUACCUGCGAGGCUGGGGGUAGCACCAGCGGUCGCCGGUCGAAUCCAGGCGCCGCCGGCGGCGGCGGCUUCGAGUCAAGGCGGCGGCGGCUUCGAUCCAGGAGGCUGGCGGCGCGGGGAGGCUGGGAGGGAGCACUUCGUCCUUGAGACGAGAGCGUGCGGGAGUUCCUCCAAAUAGGUUAGGUAUACUGGGUUGGUCCGAGGCUGUUUUGGGCCAGGCCGUGUCCCAAACGUAUCCCGCACGUGUCCCAGCGUAUCCCUAUGUUUUUUUCUUUUUUCAAAAUCGAAAUUCGGGGGAUACUGCAAAGUUCGUGUAUCCCGGCGUAUCCCGCCGUAUCCCCGUAUCCUGCCGUAUCAGAACGGCAGUUCGGCACUUGCAGCCGUGUCCAUGCUUUGUAGUACGUCUAUAUACAUCCGUAUGUAGUCCGUAUUGAAAUUUCUAAAGAGACUUAUACUCCCUCCGUCCCAAAAUAAGUGUCUCAACUUUGUACUAAAGUUAGUACAAAGUUUGUACUAAGCUUGAGACAGAGGGAAUAUUUAGGAACGGAGGGAGUAUAUGUAAUCACAGUUGAAAUGAAAGCGAUCUGUAUGUACCAACAAGUUUUGCAUUAUUGCCCUUUCUCAGGGCCAGGUGCCUCAAAUCAAGGCACUUGCAUGGAAAUUAUAUUUAUUUUAUAAAGCAGCAGUUUAAGUUGUAACAUUUAACAAAUAUGUGCCUAAGGACGCUUUGUGUACACACACAAACUACUGUAUCCCUACACAUCUCGUUGUUGACGCCAUGCAUGAUCCCUGUUCUUUCUGUUGCAACAAAUUGUAUCCAUAUCAUCAAGAUACCCAACAGACCAGGAAACGAGAAAACAAGGCAGAUCUGCAAAUCUGUUUCUCUUGGCACCCACAAAAACUUUCCACUGCCAUUGGCUUCUACUCCUUGCCAAUCCCCGGUGGCCAUAUCUCCUCCCCCCACCCUCCUUGAUCCUAUCAGGCCUCUCAUGGAGAGGUGCCGUCUCAUCAAACGUGUGGCUUAGGAGCAAAGGCUCAGCAGCGGUCAUUGUGCAAGCCAUGAAACCAGGACCCCGAAGGAGUCAAUCUCUCCAGACCCAAGGUGACUUGCAAUGAACCGGGGUGACUCUUGGGAACCCCAGAUGACCGCUUAAUCUUCCCCUGGAAAAGCAAGGGGGCCUGGUAUCCACCCCAACCAUGGCAUCACCGGCCUAGCUCGGGGUGAGGUGACACCUUAAUAACCCAGCUGACUGCCGAGAUUGUUAUGAAAAUAACUACAUGUGCUUGAAAAUUGUGUAUAUAAGAGUUAUCCUUGGCAUGAAUUGUUUGUAGUUACACAGCUUGCCAUGUUAGACAAACCUUUUAGCCCUUUUAAAGUUCUCUUCGUGAAUUUAGUAUUUUCCUGUUGCAGGUGUUACAGUGCAGAACAACAGCUUGACGAUAGGGAGAGGCAUCCGAGUAAUAGUAGAGACACACAUAAGCUCCAUCCAGUAAGUAAACAAGACUCAUUUUUCUCUUUAGAGAAAGAGAAAGUUAGUAACAUAUAACUUGAUGUCUUAGGUUGACAUUGUUGGGGUGCCUGAAGAGACAAAGGAUAGAGACGAUAUUCUGGAAAGUGAGUUUUUUGACACCAGGCAGGCAUUUCUCAGUCUUUGUCAAGGGAACCAUUACCAAUAUGACACCCUUCGCCGUGCUAAGCAUUCGUCAAUGAUGGUGUUGUAUCACCUACAUAAUCCCACUGCACCAGCGUUUGUCACUACAUGCAAUGUCUGUAGCCAUGAUAUUGAAACUGGUCAAGGCUGGCGGUGUGAAAUUUGUCCAGAUUUUGACGUGUGCAAUGGUUGUUACCAAAAAGGAGCAGUCAAUCAUCCUCACAAGUUGACAAACCAUCCAUCAGUUGCAGACCGUGAUGCCCAAAACAAGGAAGCCCGGCAAAUGCGUGUUCAACAGGUAAGCCCCUUCAGAUGAUUUCCACUAGUAAAAUUGUUCCUAACCUGCGAUUGUUGAAGUUGUGACUUUCUGUUUAUUUUCAUUAAAAAAACUUGACAGCAGUCUAGCUUAAAUACCAUUCUUUUUUAUAUUUACGAACGGAGGGAGCAAUUGGCAGGCAUUUAAUCACUGUAAUAAUAAGCCAGAGCCUUACAAAUUGGAAGACAUAAAUAUUCUUCCAGCAUUCUCAUUUGUUCAUUAUAAUAUUGUGGAAACAGUCAACAUGUGCAUCUUUGCUUUUCGAGGCUGCAAUAUGUAAAGUAGUUAUUGUGUAUAAGUCAUGUGCUCCACUACAAUCCUUUUGUUAAAUAGUUCCACCAUUGAUUUUCCUUUUACCAUCAUCCUGCAGCUAAGGAAAAUGCUCGAUCUUCUGGUACAUGCCUCGACAUGCCGCUCUGGCAGCUGCCAAUAUCCUAACUGCCGUAAAGUCAAGGGACUAUUUCGGCAUGGGAUGCAGUGCAAGACGCGUGCUUCCGGAGGGUGUGCCCUGUGCAAGAAAAUGUGGUACAUGCUUCAGCUCCAUGCCCGAGCUUGCAGAGAUUCAGGAUGCAGUGUACCGCGGUGCAGGUGUGUUGGCGCAUCUCUCAUUUGUCCCGCUAACCCCCCACCACCCCUGUGCUUAUGCAUACAGUAUUUCAAUCGUCUCUGGAGUAACAUCUGACUGUUACCUCUGGUAACCAUACAGGGAUCUCAAAGAGCAUCUUAGAAGGCUGCAACAGCAGUCCGAUUCCCGGAGGAGGGCUGCUGUUAAUGAGAUGAUGAGACAGAGAGCAGCAGAGGUUGCUACAACAUGAUUAGUUGCAUCUGUACAGGUAUACCGUCGUCGAAAGAAGAUUAGGAAAGUGUGCAGGGUCUCAGUCCUCUCAUCCCCCACACCAAGUCGAAACUUGGGAUCGUUGAAUUGGAGGAUCCAGGUCGACUGAUUGUCCUGGAAGAUGGAAGAAGACGCUGGCCAUUCUUCGCCGACGAUUAACAUAGGGGCUCGGAAGCCUGCCAUUCUCCAAAGGAAGGGUGAAGGGCGCAGCGCACCACAGUAGGUGGUAACUGUUUGCGCCCUGCUGACUGCCGCUGAUGUCGUCGAUAGGAACCGGCCCGGCCCCUUGGGUGUGGUGAUUCUUUCGUUUGACCUGUACUAGUUGGACUAAUCUUGUUUUUGCUGCUUGCCUGCUCCGUCGUCGACCUUCAUGUAUAAUAGGUCUCUGGAUCCUCUAUUGUUGAAAAACAAUGGUUGUAGCUGCUGCUGUUUUGUUCCCCCCUCCGUUCUGGUUUCUUGUCGCCUCGGUCAGGAGGGGUAUAGUAGGGAGAAAGAAGGUAGAGGGAUGGGCACUGGACAUGGUUCUGUUUAUUUAUGUCCCCCUCCCAUUUUGUAGGACAAGUCUUUAUUUUGAAAGUAUAAAGGAAAGUAAAUCCUGCGUCUUUCUUUGCCCCUCCUUUCUUGCAAGGUAAUGCAUGAUCUUGAUUUGUCCAGUC
rnacentral:lncRNA from 1 species